GAAUUCGGUCCGUAUCGUGUGCCUAUAUUCUCCUCGCCACCUCGUGGCGCUGGGGGAACCCCAAAGUAUCUCCCGUGUUCCGUGCUGUCCUCUCACGUUGCCGUGUCGGUGGCAUUGCCCGCGGGCAGUUAUGCUCGUGCUCUCGGAUUCGGAGCCUUGUGCGGGUACACGGGGUCUUCGACCUCCGUUUUCCCGCCAAGCGUUCGUCGCUCGUUGUGGGCUACAGCCGCGCCUGCGUCUGACCGUACCGGCUCUGUCGGUCGGGCUUAUGCAGCGCCGGCGUCGGAAAAAAGGAAUGCUACCUGGUUGAUC
rnacentral:misc_RNA from 1 species